rnacentral:misc_RNA from 1 species
UUUAAACACUAGAAUAUGAAGACAAGAACAAAGGAUUUUAGAUGCGUUGAUUUAAUUAAGAAAGUGAGAGAAGGGCUAUUAGUAACUACUAGAAUUCCUUUGCCCUCUCUUAUUGGUUUUGUUUUACACAGAGAACAUUAAUAGUCAGUCUUAACCAGCUUCAGAUCAAGGGCAGGGUAAUUGUACAGCUACUAUUUACUGCGGCUUAAAGAAGUGAAUCUCUAUUCCCAUAGUCACAAUAGUCCAUAUUGCUCCAGCGAACACCAGAAGGCUGAGUAGCAUUCCAAAGAGCCCUAAUAUCCAGUUCAAGCACCAGAUUGCACCAUAUUUAUAGGGUUUCUUAAUGAUAAUCCACAUAAAACAUGGAUAUGCUAAGGUAACAGGUAGAGCUAUCCCUCCAAUCAAUCCUGCCAAGCUAGGCAAGAAUGGAAAUGCCACUGCUAUAAAGAAUGCCAAACAGCCAAAGAAGACCCUAAACCCACAGCGAAGCCACCUUGGGCACGGCUUAUUCAUUUUGCUGGUGUAUCUCAUCUCCAAAUUGUCAAAUACUGGCAUUGCAUAUAUCUGAAACGAGCUGAGGCAAUUAGUGACGACAAGCAUACUUGUUAAUCCAAGUAUCACCUUGGAUGUGUCGUGUCCAUGGUAUUUGUAAAGAGCAUUUAACAUCCCUCCAUUUCCUGGUAUCAGGUUUCCAUAAGCCCAAUAGCCACCAAUUGCAAGGGGAAACAAACACAUUGCUAUAAUUAAAUAUGCGAACUUUACUCCUCUCCACAUAGGUAGACGGGAUGGUUGCUUCGCAUUUGAUGGCAUAGUACCCUGUAUUUCAAGCACAAGAUUGUGACCUCUGAAAGCAAAGGCGAUUAUCCCAAGUGCAUUGAGGAUGCUACAAAGACUUGCCAUAUCGAAUUUUUCCUGUGGAGGAUCAUAGGAGAUGUUCAUCGGCCUACCUUGAAUAAUGGACACUACCCAUAUAAGGGUACAGUAGCUAACAGCUGUUAUUGCCCCAAUUAAAGAAACUCCUGCUAUGGAAUUCAAGUUGGGAAGCUGAGCUAGAAUAAUGGCCGAGCAAGUAAAUAACAAGUACCACUCUACUGUUGUCAAUGGUUUCAUGUUACAAGUUUCUCCACAGAAAAUUUGGUAAAGUAUUUUCAUUGUUCCGCCUCCGAUCAUAAUCAGGGUCACACACGUCCCUCCUGAUAGGUACAUGAUUGGAAAGAGGGCAAGCAAUUUCCCUAGCUUCUCACCAAAAGCUGCCAUUGAUAGUCUCAGGUAUCUGCUAUAGCGCAUCCCAGAUUCUGAUUCGUGUAGUUGAAUCAGCAACCAUAAAGUGUAUAACUGCCACAUAAAAAUUAGUGAUAGACCUGCAAGUCCCCAAGUCCAGCCAAGGGUGGUGAAGGCUAGGGGAAGAACAAGGGCUUGCACUCCGAUUCCAGAGCUCAAAGUGUGAAAUGCUGCGUAGUACGCGUUACCUCUCCUAGACUCUGUUAUAGGAAGCCAUGCUUCUUGGGGAUCAAGCUUGGUGAAGUGGCCAACUUCUUCCAAGUAACAUUGCACAUUAGCAAUUGCCUUCUUCAUGGGGCUGGCUAUGGGAGUCAUUAGACUUGAAGCUAAUGGGCUUUUGGGGGUUUUUGGAGCUAUAUCCAAUAGUGGUGAUCUUGUUAUUGAAGGGCAAUGGAGUUGAGAUGGAGGAGCAGAGAUUGCUGGAAUAUCUGCCUUGUGCCUCCAAAUUUCAGGGCUCAUGCUCACUAACACUGCGUCUCCCAUAUCACUCUCUCUCAAGAUUGCUGAAAGUAUAUAUAUUAUUCUACUUAUCUCUUAAUGAAUAUAUAUACUUAUCUUGAAUGCGAAUUUGAGUAAAAG